GCAUAGUACAAGAUGGACCCGCGUCUGAUUAGCUGGUUGGUGAGGUAACGGCCCACCAAGGCGACGAUCAGUAGCCGGCCUGAGAGGGUGAACGGCCACAUUGGGACUGAGACACGGCCCAAACUCCUACGGGAGGCAGCAGUGGGGAAUAUUGCACAAUGGGGGAAACCCUGAUGCAGCAACGCCGCGUGAGGAAGAAGUAUUUCGGUAUGUAAACUCUAUCAGCAGGAAAGCGGUACCUGACUAAGAAGCCCCGGCUAACUACGUGCCAGCAGCCGCGGUAAUACGUAGGGGGCAAGCGUUAUCCGGAUUUACUGGGUGUAAAGGGAGCGUAGACGGUUUUGCAAGUCUGAAGUGAAAGCCCGGGGCUUAACCCGGGACUGCUUUGGAAACUGUAGAACUAGAGUGCAGGAGAGGUAAGUGGAAUUCCUAGUGUAGCGGUGAAAUGCGUAGAUAUUAGGAGGAACACCAGUGGCGAAGGCGGCUUACUGGACUGUAACUGACGUUGAGGCUCGAAAGCGUGGGGAGCAAACAGGAUUAGAUACCCUGGUAGUCCACGCCGUAAACGAUGAUUACUAGGUGUUGGUCGGUGCCGCAGCAAACGCAAUAAGUAAUC
rnacentral:rRNA from 1 species